rnacentral:rRNA from 1 species
UACAGAGAGUGCAAGCGUUAAUCGGAAUUACUGGGCGUAAAGCGUACGUAGGUUGAGCUUUAAGUCAGAUGUGAAAUCCCCGGGCUUAACCUGGGAAUUGCAUUUGAUACUGGAGCUCUAGAGUAUAGUAGAGGGAAGUGGAAUUUCUGGUGUAGCGGUGAAAUGCGUAGAUAUCAGAAGGAACAUCAGUGGCGAAAGCGGCUUCCUGGACUAAUACUGACACUUAGGUACGAAAGCGUGGGGAGCAAACAGG